rnacentral:rRNA from 1 species
GAGUUUGAUCCUGGCUCAGGAUGAACGCUGGCGGCGCGCCUAACACAUGCAAGUCGAACGAGAAGCACCUCUUCGGAGGUGUGGAUAGUGGCGAACGGCUGAGUAACACGUGGGCAACCUGCCCCUCUCAUCGGGAUAGCCUCGGGAAACCGGGGAUAAUACCGGAUACUCCAACGCUUUCGCAUGGAAGCGUUGGGAAAGCUCUGGCGGAGAGGGAUGGGCCCGCGGCCUGUUAGCUAGUUGGCGGGGUAACGGCCCACCAAGGCUUCUAUGGGUAGCCGGGUUGAGAGACCGACCGGCCAGAUUGGGACUGAGACACGGCCCAGACUCCUACGGGAGGCAGCAGUGGGGAAUCUUGCGNCAUGGGCGAAAGCCUGACGCAGCGACGCCGCGUGCGGGAUGACGGCCUUCGGGUUGUAAAACGCUUUCAACAGGGACGAGGCCGCAAAGGUGACGGUACCUGCAGAAAAAGCCCCGGCUAACUACGUGGCCACAGCCGCCGUAAUACGUAGGGGGCGAAGCGUUUUCGGGAUCCAUGGGGCUAAAGCGGCCGAAGGCGGCCGUUAAGGUCGGAGUCAAUUUCGGGGGCUCACCCCCGUCCGUCCCCAAACCGGGGGGGGUUGAGUGGGGAGG